CGGCCCAAAUACUUUUGGCG
rnacentral:snRNA from 1 species